CCGCCAACAUUCUGUUUCGAAGCAUAGAGCAUGAUUUCAUCGCAAAACCCAAAAGCCCACCUGACCCCUGCAAAUCCAGAUAUCUUAGCAGAAGCAAUUUGCGAACUCCUACACUCUUGGCUGCCUCUAAUAUAUCAGACGGGAGACUUGCUCCUCGAGCCUCUACCUCUUUAAUCACCUCAUCAAACUUCAUGAUGGGUCCAAACUCUUCUUCUUCUUCUCCUUUGUCCUCUCCUUCACCAUCCUCACUACCGCCACUGCCGCCACCUCCACCUCCACCUCCACCACUUGGAUAUUU
rnacentral:misc_RNA from 1 species